rnacentral:misc_RNA from 1 species
GAAAAAGUUUCAAAUCUUCUUCCUAAUUAUACUAAUCCAAUCUGGCGAGAUUCUCAAGACCCCACCGAGACAAAAACAAAGGAAACCAUCAAGAGUACAUCUGUUUCUGAACAGAAAAACAGUCCAUGUCCCUAGUACAAGAGUCUGUAUGAUAAGAAACAUGAUUCUGAUGACUCAGAUUGUUAUAAUUAUAAUCUGAGAUCAAGUCAGAACUCCUUGUGAAUUGACUGCAGGCUGUCCACUUGAAACUGGAAAAAAAUAUACAUUUGUAUAAUCAAUUUUAAUAAAAUAAAUUAUUUGUCUUCAUGUAUGACUUAAUUAGGUAUAAAUCAUGUGCCUACCUAACUAGUUCUUAUCUUG